UACGGAGGGUGCAAGCGUUAUCCGGAUUCACUGGGUUUAAAGGGAGCGUAGGUGGGAUGGUAAGUCAGUGGUGAAAGCUCCGGGCUUAACUCGGAAACUGCCGUUGAUACUAUCAUUCUUGAAUAUUGUGGAGGUAAGCGGAAUAUGUCAUGUAGCGGUGAAAUGCUUAGAUAUGACAUAGAACACCAAUAGCGAAGGCAGCUUGCUGCACAAUUAUUGACACUGAGGCUCGAAAGCGUGGGGAUCAAACAGG
rnacentral:rRNA from 1 species